rnacentral:lncRNA from 1 species
ACAAAGACAAUGGAUUUUAUAAAAUAUCUUUUGGUGUGUGUAUAAAUGUGCCGCACUUCCUUCUCCCCACACCCGGUGGCCACUCUGGCCAGUGUGGCCUUUGUAAGCUUUUUAAGUUUUUUAGAUACCUUUUGCGUUUUCUUUUCAAAGCCCCACACUAAUAAUAUAGUGGAUUUUGGUUCGAUUACAUGUUACUUAUAUAUUAUUAUUCUUCAAUUUCAAAUCCAAGUUUUUAAAAAAUA